UAUCAAAAGUCAAGUCGGGGGCUGUAAAGCUCUCGUCUACACCCAUGUCUUUUGCGUACUCUUGUUUCCUCGGUGGCGCAAGCUGCCGAUUGGACAAACCAAAACCUUUUUUGUAAUUGCAAUCAGCGUCUGAAAAUAAUCUAAUUAUUUACAACUUUCAACAACGGAUCUCUUGGUUCUGGCAUCGAUGAAGAACGCAGCGAAAUGCGAUAAGUAGUGUGAAUUGCAGAAUUCAGUGAAUCAUCGAAUCUUUGAACGCACAUUGCGCCCCUUGGUAUUCCAUGGGGCAUGCCUGUUCGAGCGUCAUUUGUACCCUCAAGCUUUGCUUGGUGUUGGGCGUCUUGUCGUAUUACGACUCGCCUUAAAUUUAUUGGCAGCCGGCACUUUGGCCUAGGAGCGCAGCACAUUUUGCGAUCGUAGCCCGUUGUACUGGCGUCCAUCAAGAACAUUUACCACGUUUGACCUCGGAUCAGGUAGGGAUACCCGCUGA
rnacentral:rRNA from 1 species